GAUCAGGUGGCUCAGGAUGAACGCUAGCGACAGGCUUAACACAUGCAAGUCGAGGGGCAUCAUGAGGUAGCAAUACCUUGAUGGCGACCGGCGCACGGGUGAGUAACGCGUAUGCAACCUGCCCGAUACCGGGGUAUAGCCCAUGGAAACGUGGAUUAACACCCCAUAGUACUUUUAUCCUGCCUGGGAUGGGAGUUAAAUGUUCAAGGUAUCGGAUGGGCAUGCGUCCUAUUAGUUAGUUGG
rnacentral:rRNA from 1 species